rnacentral:rRNA from 1 species
CCUACGGGAGGCAGCAGUGGGGAAUUUUGGACAAUGGGGGAAACCCUGAUCCAGCAAUGCCGCGUGUGUGAAGAAGGCCUUCGGGUUGUAAAGCACUUUUGUCCGGAAAGAAAACCUUUGCACUAAUACUGUGAGGGGAUGACGGUACCGGAAGAAUAAGCACCGGCUAACUACGUGCCAGCAGCCGCGGUAAUACGUAGGGUGCGAGCGUUAAUCGGAAUUACUGGGCGUAAAGCGUGCGCAGGCGGUUCGUUAAGACAGAUGUGAAAUCCCCGGGCUUAACCUGGGAACUGCAUUUGUGACUGGCGAGCUAGAGUAUGGCAGAGGGGGGUAGAAUUCCACGUGUAGCAGUGAAAUGCGUAGAGAUGUGGAGGAAUACCGAUGGCGAAGGCAGCCCCCUGGGCCAAUACUGACGCUCAUGCACGAAAGCGUGGGGAGCAAACAGGAUUAGAUACCCUGGUAGUCCACGCCCUAAAACGAUAUCAACUAGUUAGUUGGGUUCGUUCUAUUAGUACUUAAGUUAAACGUAAGUACGUAACGUACGUGUAAGUUAGUACCGCCGUCGGGGUAGGGUACGGGUACGGCGAAGAAGUUAAAACGUUAAACGUUAAAGGUUAAAGUUAGUUACGGCGUGAGACGCGCCGACGGACGACCGACGAGGGGAGGAGG